rnacentral:rRNA from 1 species
CUACGGAGGGUGCAAGCGUUGUCCGGAAUUAUUGGGUUUAAAGGGGGCGCAGGCGGUGCGUUAAGUCAGUGGAGAAAUCUUCCGGCUCAACCGGGAAACUGCCAUUGAUACUGGCGCACUUGAGUACGGACGAGGUAGGCGGAAUUUAUGGUGUAGCGGUGAAAUGCAUAGAUACCAUAAAGAACACCGAUAGCGAAGGCAGCUUACCAGACCGUAACUGACGCUCAGGCACGAAAGCGUGGGGAGCAAACAGGAUUAGAAACCCUAGUAGUCC